CCUACGGGUGGCUGCAGUGGGGAAUUUUGCGCAAUGGGCGAAAGCCUGACGCAGCGACGCCGCGUGGGUGAUGAAGGCCUUCGGGUUGUAAAGCCCUGUGGGGAGGGAAGAAUAAAGCGAGGCGAAUAGGCUCGUGGAUGACGGUACCUCCUUAGCAAGCACCGGCUAACUCUGUGCCAGCAGCCGCGGUAAGACAGAGGGUGCAAACGUUGGUCGGAAUUACUGGGCGGAAAGCGCGUGUAGGCGGCGAAAGCCCUGGGCGCAACCUAGGAAGUGCAUUCGAAACUGCAUUGCUUGAGUCUCGGAGAGGAUGGUGGAAUUCUCGGUGUAGAGGUGAAAUUCGUAGAUAUCGAGAGGAACACCCGUGGCGAAGGCGGCCAUCUGGACGAAGACUGACGCUGAGACGCGAAAGCAUGGGGAGCAAACAGGAUUAGAUACCCUAGUAGUC
rnacentral:rRNA from 1 species